GUCUUUCACAUAAUUCUUUUUUCUUCGGAUUCGAACCUUCAGGAAACGUCAAGUCUGACAAUGACAAAGUUUGUUUUCAAUUUCCCACCGACACAAGUACGUGAACGCAGCACACACAGAAAACACUGUCGCUAUAGCAACUGAUGACUCAGGACAAAGUGGGCGUUUCCCAGUGUUGUCUGACGACGGCGCUACGACAUCCGUGGACACAUUAAAGGGUAAGUUCACUGUUUUCAGCCUUUAAAGGGACGCUCUGUCCACUUUGACUAAUCACUGCUUUUACUGA